GACGAACGCUGGCGGCGCGCUUAACACAUGCAAGUCGAACGGAAAGGCCUGCUUUCCCUUGUGGAUUGCGGGUACUCGCGUGGCGAACGGGUGAGUAACACGUGAGUGAUCUGCCCCCAACUUGGGUAUAAGCCUGGGAAACUGGGUCUAAUUCCCGAUAGGACUGCAGGGUGGUGCCUGUGGUGGAAAACGAUUUUCUAGUGGUUGGGGAUGAGCUCGCGGCCUAUCAGCUUGUUGGUGGGGUAAUGGCCUACCAAGGCGGCGACGGGUAGCCGGCCUGAGAGGGUGGACGGCCACAUUGGGACUGAGAUACGGCCCAGACUCCUACGGGAGGCAGCAGUGGGGAAUAUUGCACAAUGGGCGGAAGCCUGAUGCAGCGACGCCGCGCGGGGGAUGACGGCCUUCGGGUUGUAAACUCCUUUCGACCGCGAGGAAGCCACCUGGUUGGAAGGGUGGUGACGGUAGUGGUAGAAGAAGCACCGGCUAACUACGUG
rnacentral:rRNA from 1 species